AUUGAACGCUGGCGGCAGGCCUAACACAUGCAAGUCGAGCGGAUGAAGGGAGCUUGCUCCUGGAUUCAGCGGCGGACGGGUGAGUAAUGCCUAGGAAUCUGCCUGGUAGUGGGGGAUAACGUCCGGAAACGGGCGCUAAUACCGCAUACGUCCUGAGGGAGAAAGUGGGGGAUCUUCGGACCCCACGCUUUCAGAUGAGCCUAGGUCGGAUUAGCUAGUUGGUGGGGUAAAGGCCUACCAAGGCGACGAUCCGUAACUGGUCUGAGAGGGUGAUCGGCCACAUUGGGACGGAGAUACGGACCAGACUACUACGGGGGGCAGCAGUGGGGAAUAUUGCAGAAUGGGCGGAAGGCUGAUGCAGCAAUGCAGCGUGCGGGAUGACGGCCGUCGGGUUGUAAACCGCUUUCGCCGGUGACGUAGCGUGAGGGACGGUAAUGAGUAAAGAAGCACGGGCUAACUACGUG
rnacentral:rRNA from 1 species